GCACAUCAGAGGAGUAUACAAAUAGAGGACUGGUAGAGUCUACCGAGGAGGAGGUACCAGUAUUCGUAUUAGAAGUCAUGAUUAAUGCACCAGUUUGAAAAGAAAAACAGUUUCGACAAGCAAAAUAUCACGAAACCAGAUAUUCACACACGAAGCCAAAUAAUCACACACAAAGUAUACAAUACGCAAGAGAGGUACAGAGUUACCCUCCUUCUUCGCGAUCGGAGAAGAUCGGCUUUCAGUCAAUUAGAGAAAACCCUAGGUACAAAACCCUAGGUGCAACCGGUGCAAACCUUACUGGAAAUAUAGUCAGGGAUGUCGAAAAGUCACCCUAAACAUCCACUGAGUGAGAAUCGAGCCACCGGAUAGCAGUAAAACUCUAGGUUAAACCACCAGAAACCCUAGAAGCCGAUAGGUCACCCAAAAAUCACCCAAAAUCAUCAGAAAAUCUCCCAGAACGUUCAAGUGAAGAAAAUACACUCAGAUAUCACGAUGAAAAACUCAGAAAGGCGUCCGAUUUAUACCGACAUCAUCACCGACCAUAAGGUCUCAGAAACACCCCCAAAAAUCUUGAAACAGACUUCAUCCAAGACAAUGAGAUACAGAUAAACAUAGUCGGAUUGUCGUCUAGGCUUUGAUACCAUGUAAACAUUGAGAUUAGACCGAAAAAUCAUUGAGAAUGUAGAGAGAGAAACUAGAGAGAAGGAGGAGCGUUUGAGAACU
rnacentral:lncRNA from 1 species